UAUCUGUGGCAAGGUGGUUGGACUGCAUUGCUAGGCCCUGCUCAUUUCUGCACCAUUCGUAAUCUGAAUUUACGGCAUCCUGACGAUCUCAUGAAUCAUUCUACUGCAGGUGGUGGGCCUCAGGCUGGGGUUCGUUUGAGCCCAUGGCAGCAUCAGGGAACCCAAAAAGGUUGUCAGCAGGCAACCCUGGAUGACCUGCAGCUCAUCUCUCGGCUGGCUGGCUAGAGACUGUAGUGCUUCACGCAUAAAAAAUAUGAGUGAGGGCUCAAUGAACUCCUGAGCCAUGCUUGGGCUUUUGAGGGAGGCAGGGAGGGUGAAGCAAGACUGAGAUAUUAGAAACCCAUGUGUCACCUGGGGGACUUUUGCCUACUGAGUUCCUGGGGAUCUCAAUGAAUGGCAAUGCCCUCCUCACUUUUUAACUGGAUUCUGUCCCGAGCGAUGUUUUCUCUCUGAUUCUAUAACCAUUUCUUUUCAGAGGGCUGUAUGCAGGCCAUGGAGAGCAGGAGCACUCGGCCUGAGCAUUGUUCAUAUAGAUUCUCCCUAAUGGAGCCUAGCCUGAGAGUGACCUCACAUCAUGCUAGCCAUCAGCUGAACGUUGCUCUGCAGGGAGAACGAAAACAGGUGGUUCUCACCAUGAAUCAAAGAGGUAUUGAAUGUUACACUGGAUCUCAGCCGUGUGAGUGCAGGUUUCAUAGUGGCAAAAUGAACCUCAUCUCUGUGUGACUUGUCCUUGAGGCUAGCAUUUUUCCAUGCCAAUGGCCCGUAAAUCAUCCCCCAGGUCAUGCCUAGGCCCAGGGCACCGGCACGCUUGGCCUCCCAGUCCUGAGCACACUGCUUGCUGCAUAGCUGGCAGAGUGAUUACAUUUGGGCUGCAUUGCUAAUGAUGCCUUGAUCACUCUACUUAAUUCAAACUAGGCAGGGCAGGUUUAGCCUGCACCUAAAGUUGUACUGAAGAUCGCGCAAAUGGCACGCAGUAGGAAUGAGGGCUAACUAUGCUGUAAACAGCUCUUCAGUGUUCUGUGCGAUUCAAAUGAGGGGAAAUGCAGGCUCACUCCAAGACUCUCUGAUGGAUCUUGCUGUGCGAUUUUCUAUCUCUGACAAGGUGGGCAGGCUGCAUGGCCAGGCCCUGCUCAUUUACCCCCCCCAGUUGUAUUCUGAAUGGAUGGCAUUCUUACGAACUCAUGACCCAUUCCUUUGCAGGUGGUUGGCCUUAGGCUGGGGUUAGUUGGAGCCCAUUGCAGCAUCAUCGGAACCUAAAAGUUGUGCAGGAGGCAACCCUGGAUGAUCUGGGGCUCAUCAUUCCACUGGCUGGCUAACUAGAAACUGUAGUGUUCCACAGACAAUGGUUUGAGCAAAGGCUCCUUGAGCUCUUAAACGAUGCUAGGCCUUUUGCGGGAGGUGCGUAGUUUGAAUGCAGAGUGAGAGCUCGGCAACAGAUGGUUCAAUUGGGGGCCUUUUCCAUACUGUGUCUAUGGGGGCCUCAAUGCAUGGCCAUGCCCUGCCUAUUUUUCUAAAGUGUUCUCUCCCAACUGAUGUUUUCUUUCUGACUCGAUAACCAUUCCUUUUCAGAUGACUGUAUGCAUGCUGUGGUGAGCAGGAGCACUCGCCCUGAAUAACUGUUCUUACAGAGUCUCCCUGAUGGAGCCAGGUCUGAGAGUGAGCUCACUUCUUCCUAGCUUAAUGCUCAAAGUUGCACUGCAAGGAGGACGACGUGAAGUGGUUCUCACAGUGCUGUGAAGAGGGACUAAAUGUUACACUGGAUGCCAGCCUUAGUCUCCAUGAUGGAGCCAGGGCUCAGAGUGAGCUCACUUCGUGCUAGCUUAAAGCUCAAAGUCCCACUGCAAGGAGGACGACAUCAGGUGGUUCUCACAAUGCGUCGAAGAGGGACUAAAUGUUUCACUGGAUGCUAGCCUUCUGUCUACUUAGAGCUCUAUCAACACAAGCUUCAGGACGUUCUGCUGCAUGAAAGGAUGGUGGAGCAGCAAAGGGUCGUGCAGGCCCCUGGACACUACUUUGCACUCUACUCCAACUGCCUCAUCUUCCCCUUGACCUGGCCAUGAAGUCUCUGAGCCAAUGCUGCUCAGUUUAGGCUUGCAUGUGGCUGGGAUAACCAGGCUGACCUCUACCUCACAGUCAUCUUACUGCCUCAACCUCCUAAGUGCAUUUCGUCUCUCU